UACAUACAUAUAUACAUAUACAUAUAUAUAUAUAGAUAUAUAUUUAUAUGUACAUAUGUACAUACUGCCAUGUACAUUAAUGCAUUUCGUGCGCUUGCAUAUUCGAAACAGAGAGCCAAGAGACUAACUGCGUGUGUUUUUUUCUCUAACUAAACUGACCAGUGGCGCACUGCGGUGACUAAGUGGCCCAUAAAUCAAGUCGAUAUUCUGAAAAUCUCACUGACCGAUUUGUUGAGCACAAAGUAAUAUACCAAUUGAUGUAAAUAAAUAUAUGGAGAAGGGCCACGAAAAUCUCAAUUAAUUGCUUGAUGUCGGUGAUAAUCUGAAUGCGGCCCUGGUAUUUUUUAUUGAUAUCAACAGUUUUAGUAAUUGUUGUCUGUGUGUGUGAGAGGCAGAGCGAAUGUCCAUAUGCUGAGAGUCUUUAUAAAUACAUACAUACACACAUCAAUGUAUGCUUAUAUACACAAGUAUUAUAUACGAAUGAAUCAGCUGUUCAAUGCGUAUUAAUCAUAUGUUUAUAUGAAGUGUCUUUGACUGAAUGUGUAUAAAUGUAUAUAUGUACAUACAAAUGUACAUGUAUGUAUGUGUGUAUACAAUCGUGAAUGCACAUCCCAGUCGCACUGGGCUGGUAUUUCGAAUUACUUCUCGUAAAGUGAAUUUUAAAAACAGAAUUAGUUAGAAUGUUAUUUUAAUAAAUGUUUUAUGCUUCCGUAGAUUUUUAAAGCAAUUAAUUAUAACAAUCAAAUUUAUAUUCAUUUUUGCAAUGGGGAUGCCAAACAUGCUUCUUAAAACAUACCGUUCAUAAGAAAAACUAAGUAAACAAUUAAAUUCUCAUCCCUAGCCCUCAGUCUGCACAAUCGAUAUUUAACACUACACUAUAGCCAAACGAACUACAAAAAGGAACAACAUUCAACAGCUGGAACUGCGAUUAAAUGAACAAUAUUAUCAGUUGGAACUACAAAAAAUUGAGAACAACAAAUGUGAAACUCUUAUACAAAACAGCAAAAGAAACUAUUUAUCCACUUGAUUCUUUCAGAUCGGGUCCCGGUUCCGAACCAAAGUGUAACCGCCCUUUAGAGUGAGAGAGAGAGAGAGAGAGAGAGAGAGAGAGAGAGGAGGAGAGCGAAUCGAAUGCCCUUUGUAAAAGCUUUGAUGCUCAAAGCAGCUGCGCAUAUGUGCAACAGCGGCGACCACAACUUUCAGUGUAUGCUUGCGCCAAAUAUUCGGCACCGAUCACGUUGGUGCCUAGAUGUUCAGUGAACAGAGAUUUCGACUUUGUCAGCGGUCAACUGCAGGCACAAACGCACCUUGUUGAAAAAUUUGAAGAAAAAGGAAAGGAAAAACUUUGCCUACACUUACUGCUUAGUGAGAAAAAAAUGUAAUAAAUUAUAAAUAAUUAUUGGAUCAUGCUGAAUUCAAUAAAUUAAUUGUGCAUAAUACUUGAUGCAUAAUUACUGUUCAGGAAGCUACAAA